CACGUAGGCGGUCUCGCAAGUUGGGUGUGAAAGCCCUCGGCUUAACCGAGGAAGUGCAUUCAAAACUACGAGACUUGAAUACUGGAGAGGGUUGCGGAAUUCCCGGUGUAGAGGUGAAAUUCGUAGAUAUCGGGAGGAACACCAGUGGCGAAGGCGGCAACCUGGACAGAUAUUGACGCUGAGGUGCGAAAGCGUGGGGAGCAAACA
rnacentral:rRNA from 1 species